rnacentral:lncRNA from 1 species
GGCAAAUAAGGUUGAUCUAUAACUUGGUAACCAAAACAUUAAAAGGGAUGUAAGGAAAGAUUUCACUUAGGGAGCUUACCAUUUGAUUUUUAUGGGGGGGCUAGGAUGAAAAAUUUUGUCCUGCUUUUUUUUUUUAGUUGUAAUCUCUGUCCUGCCUUUUUAUUUUUUACUCUAUUCGGUCCCGCCUUUUUUUUACUAGUUUAUCCUGACUUUUUUUACACAAAUUGUCAUCUUAACUUUUUUUUUACCAAGUUGCUCAUCCUGCCUUUUUUUUUUACUCAAAACUCCUGUCCUGCCUAUUUUUUUCAAAUUUCAUCCUAGCCCCCCCCCCCCCCAUAAAAAUCAAAUGGUAGCUCCCUAAAAGAUAGUAUGGUAGAUAUUCAAACAAGAAGUAGUCACAGUGACAUGGCAAUAUAAACACCUUUAGUGUAGUUUGUUGUUGAUAUUCACUAAAACAGCCAUUAUAAGUAUACCGACAUCUAUUUUCAUAAUUAUU